GACGAACCGUGCGAACGUUGUUCGGAAUCACUGGGCUUAAAGGGAGCGUAGGCGGGCUAUCAAGUCUGGGGUGAAAUCCCACGGCUCAACCGUGGAACUGCCUUAGAUACUGACGGCCUCGAGGGAGAUAGGGGCAUGCGGAACUGUAGGUGGAGCGGUGAAAUGCGUUGAUAUCUACAGGAACUCCGGUGGCGAAAGCGGCGUGCUGGAUCUCUUCUGACGCUGAGGCUCGAAAGCUAGGGAGCAAACGGG
rnacentral:rRNA from 1 species